rnacentral:snRNA from 1 species
CUCACUUCUCGGCCUUUUGGUUAAGAUCAUGUGUAGUAUCUGUUCUUAUCAGUUUAAUAUCUGAUAUGUCCUUGAUGAGAGGACUUUAUAUUAAAUGGAUUUUUGGGUGUGAGCAUGU